UACGUAGGGGGCAAGCGUUGUCCGGAUUUAUUGGGCGUAAAGAGCGUGUAGGCGGCUAGAUAGGUCCGUUGUGAAAACUCGAGGCUCAACCUCGAGACGUCGAUGGAAACCAUCUGGCUAGAGUCCGGAAGAGGAGAGUGGAAUUCCUGGUGUAGCGGUGAAAUGCGCAGAUAUCAGGAAGAACACCCGUGGCGAAGGCAGCCAUCUGGACCGACACUGACGCUGAGGCGCGAAAGCGUGGGGAGCAAACAGG
rnacentral:rRNA from 1 species